rnacentral:rRNA from 1 species
UAGAUGGCGCCGGCGCACGGGUGAGUAACACGUAUCCAACCUGCCGAUAACUCGGGGAUAGCCUUUCGAAAGAAAGAUUAAUACCCGAUGGUAUAAUCAGACCGCAUGGUCUUGUUAUUAAAGAAUUUCGGUUAUCGAUGGGGAUGCGUUCCAUUAGGCAGUUGGUGAGGUAACGGCUCACCAAACCUUCGAUGGAUAGGGGUUCUGAGAGGAAGGUCCCCCACAUUGGAACUGAGACACGGUCCAA